UUUCUAGAUGAUGCAGACAUUAUAAAGGUGUUUCUAGAUGAUGCAGACAUUAUAAAGGUGUUUCUAGAUGAUGCAGACAUUAUAAAGGUGUUUCUAGAUGAUGCAGACAUUAUAAAGGUGUUUCUAGAUGAUGCAGACAUUAUAAAGGUGUUUCUAGAUGCAGACAUUAUAAAGGUGUUUCUAGAUGCAGACAUUAUAAAGGUGUUUCUAGAUGCAGACAUUAUAAAGGUGUUUCUAGAGGAUGCAGACAUUAUAAAGGUGUUUCUAGAGGAUGCAGACAUUAUAAAGGUGUUUCUAGAUGAUGCAGACAUUAUAAAGGUGUUUCUAGAUGAUGCAGACAUUAUAAAGGUGUUUCUAGAUGAUGCAGACAUUGUAAAG